UUUUAAAUGAGGACCUGUAUGAAUGGCAUAACGAGGGCUUAGCUGUCUCCCCUGUCUAGUCAAUGAAAUUGAUCUCCCCGUGCAGAAGCGGGGAUGGCACCAUAAGACGAGAAGACCCUAUGGAGCUUUAGAUAAUCAAACGACCCAUUUAGAACAGCUAUAAUUAAAUAAGCUGAGCCCCCUUAAUGGCUCCCCGUUUUAUGUC
rnacentral:rRNA from 1 species